UGUUAAACGCUGUUUCUUUUAAAAGCAGUCUCUAUUAAGACAUUUGAAACUUCAUAUUCUAGCUGUGUCGCCGCGCACAGACAGAUAUUCACUCUCAAAGCAAACUUUGGGACGGACACUAUGCGAAUGAACUUUCAGAAUCCAUCCGCAGACCUUCAGUGGCAAACAAAUAAGCCUCGCCGCCACCGCUGUUGAGCAGCGCGCACAUCAAAUGCACGGCGCGUCUCGAGCCUGACAACAUUCAGAUUUAUGAGCAUUAGAGGCUUUGGUUGGCAUGCAUAAGUCAUGAGCGCGGGCAUAUUUAGAGGAGUUAGCGGUAAUUCACUGAUAUGUCAAAGGUUUUGAGAGACAAUAGCUUUACAAAGAGCUACGGUGAACGCCGGUAGAUAACGGUCUGCUGUAUGACAAGAGCUGCGUCGGGCCCGUGUGUGUGUUCGGAUAUCGGCGUGGAAAAGAGCAGCAGUUCUCGGCUCAUUCUGUCAGACGGCUGCCUCUGGGUUUUUUGACAAGGACGGGCAGCGCUAACCUUUCUACCAAUUGCAACCUGACAGUUGAUCAUUCACAUGCAAAACGGAGGCAUUCACGGUGCGAGUCCUUCAUUACACGGAGGCGCGCACCGUUUCCCAGAAGCCCCGCCGUCACACACGUCCCCUUCUUUUGGAGAGGGGCCACCUUUCAAAGGACUGAUAAACACUACUGUGUCAUCUUUGAGAUUUUCCUGAGAGCAGAUGCUUUUGUGAUCGUGAUGAAGCUGGGAACUUGGUGUGUUUGUUCUGGAGUGACAGAGUUCUAUAUCUGGAGAGAAUAUUCUAUAUCGCCGUGGAGCCGCAGGUCAGUCUCCAUGACUACAGCUGUGUGGGCUGAUCCUGAUUUAUAUCAGAGAUCCUACUGAAGCGAGGUCUCUCUCAUCACCCCUAAAUUACAGCCGACAGAAUGAGCGUUCUGUCAUUAUGACUCCGGCUGACUUCAUUGCCAAGGAUUAAGGGUCACUUGUGCCAAAGAUUGUCUGAUAAAACAAUAGUCCAGACUUUUGACUGUCAGCAUAAAGACUUACCAACCGUGCAACAAAUUCUGCACAGGAACUCCCCAUUUAGACAGGAAGAGACCGUUUGAGCAUCAUGACAGCCACCAGUUGGUUUUGUUUUUAUUGGCCAUUUUGUUGUUGUUUUGGACCCCACUGGCUUUCAUUCUAUUUAAAAAAUGGUUUAAACAUUUAAAAUAUCUUCUUUUGUUUUGUACACUGAAAAAAAAUGAUUAACUGAAUUUACUUUUUUUUUUAAGGUAAGUGGUUGCAAUCAAUUUAUUUUAGCUACAUUU